rnacentral:rRNA from 1 species
GAGUUUGAUCGUGGCUCAGAUUGAACGCUGGCGGCAUGCCUUACACAUGCAAGUCGAACGGCAGCACGGGAGCUUGCUCCUGGUGGCGAGUGGCGAACGGGUGAGUAAUGCAUCGGAACGUAUCCUGGAGUGGGGGAUAACGUAGCGAAAGUUACGCUAAUACCGCAUAUUCUGUGAGCAGGAAAGCGGGGGACCUUCGGGCCUCGCGCUCUUGGAGCGGCCGAUGUCGGAUUAGCUAGUUGGUGAGGUAAAGGCUCACCAAGGCGACGAUCCGUAGCAGGUCUGAGAGGAUGAUCUGCCACACUGGAACUGAGACACGGUCCAGACUCCUACGGGAGGCAGCAGUGGGAAUUUUGGACAAUGGGGGCAACCCUGAUCCAGCCAUGCCGCGUGAGUGAAGAA